rnacentral:rRNA from 1 species
AGCCGCAGCGAAAGCGAGUCUGAAUAGGGCGAAUGAGUACGUAGGCGUAGACCCGAAACCGUGUGAUCUACCCCUGUCCAGGGUGAAGGUGCGGUAACACGCACUGGAGGCCCGAACCCACGAAUGUUGAAAAAUUCGGGGAUGAGGUGGGGGUAGCGGAGAAAUUCCAAUCGAACUCGGAGAUAGCUGGUUCUCCCCGAAAUAGCUUUAGGGCUAGCCUCGGAGGAAGAGUCGUGGAGGUAGAGCACUGAUUGGGUGCGGGGCCCGCCAAGGGUUACCAAGCUCAGUCAAACUCCGAAUGCCAUGGACUUAUUAUCCGGGAGUCAGACAAUGGGUGCUAAGGUCCGUUGUCAAGAGGGAAACAGCCCAGACCAUCAGCUAAGGCCCCUAAGUGUACGUUAAGUGGGAAAGGAUGUGGAGUUGCCCAGACAACCAGGAUGUUGGCUUAGAAGCAGCCAUCAUUUAAAGAGUGCGUAAUAGCUCACUGGUCGAGUGACUCUGCGCCGAAAAUGUAACGGGGCUAAACGUACCGCCGAAGCUAUGGAUUGAUGCUUCUUGCAUCAGUGGUAGGGGAGCGUUGUGUACCGGGUUGAAGGCAGACCGGAAGGACUGCUGGACUGUACACAAGUGAGAAUGCCGGUAUGAGUAACGAAAAGACAUGUGAGAAUCAUGUCCGCCGAAAGCCUAAGGGUUCCUGGGGAAGGCUCGUCCGCCCAGGGUAAGUCGGGACCUAAGGCGAGGCCGAAAGGCGUAGUCGAAGGACAACAGGUUGAAAUUCCUGUACCACCGCAGCCGUUAUGAGCAAUGGGGGGACGCAGAAGGAUAGGGACGCGAGCUGAUGGAUGCUCGUCCAAGCAGUGAGGCUGGUCAGUAGGCAAAUCCGCUGACCGUAAGGCUGGGCUGUGACGGGGAGGGAAAAUUACAGUACCGAAGGUCUUGAUUUCAUGCUGCCAAGAAAAGCCUCUAGCCAGGUGAAGGUGCCCGUACCGCAAACCGACACAGGUAGGCGAGAAGAGAAUUCUAAGGCGCGCGGAAGAACUCUCGUUAAGGAACUCGGCAAAAUGACCCCGUAACUUUGGGAGAAGGGGUGCCCCGGUAGGGUGAAUAGCCCGAGGGGGCCGCAGUGAAUAGGCCCGAGCGACUGUUUAGCAAAAACACAGGUCUGUGCGAAGCCGUAAGGCGAAGUAUACGGGCUGACGCCUGCCCGGUGCUGGAAGGUUAAGGGGAGUGGUUAGCUCUUAGAGCGAAGCUAUGAACCGAAGCCCCAGUAAACGGCGGCCGUAACUAUAACGGUCCUAAGGUAGCGAAAUUCCUUGUCAGGUAAAUUCUGACCCGCACGAAUGGCGUAACGACUUGGGCGCUGUCUCAACGAGAGAUCCGGUGAAAUUUUAAUACCUGUGAAGAUGCAGGUUACCCGCGACAAGACGGAAAGACCCCAUGGAGCUUUACUGCAGCUUGAUAUUGGACUUUGGUACGGUCUGUACAGGAUAGGUGGGAGCCUUAGAAGCCGGAGCGCCAGCUUCGGUGGAGGCGCCGUUGGGAUACCACCCUGAUCGUAUCGGAGUUCUAACCUGGGACCGUGAAGCCGGUUCGGGGACAGUGUCAGGCGGGCAGUUUGACUGGGGCGGUCGCCUCCUAAAGAGUAACGGAGGCGCCCCAAGGUUCCCUCAGAAUGGUUGGAAAUCAUUCGAAGAGUGCAAAGGCAGAAGGGAGCUUGACUGCGAGACCUACAAGUCGAGCAGGGACGAAAGUCGGGCUUAGUGAUCCGGUGGUACCGCAUGGAAGGGCCAUCGCUCAACGGAUAAAAGCUACCCUGGGGAUAACAGGCUUAUCUCCCCCAAGAGUCCACAUCGACGGGGAGGUUUGGCACCUC